rnacentral:rRNA from 1 species
AUGUCAUCCAUGAUAUAUGAGCUUGUGCAUUUCCUUAGCAAAUUUGUUGUAACCUUCCUUGAUGGCAUAUUCAUAGAUAAUGAUCACAUUGCCUACCAUCAAUUGCAUGAUAACAUAAACAUAUUGAGCAUCCAUUGCCAUGUUCAUGCUUUUGAUACACCGUCCCAUUAUGACAUCAUUUUGCAUAAUGGUUGCAUUACUCAUAUUCACACAUUUGUGUGCACAAUGAAUGUUUUCCCUUCCAUGAAUGCUCGGCAUAUCAUUCUAUACCAUCUUGAUAAGCUUCAUGCGCUUUAUCACAAACAAUUUUGUCGACCGGACUCAUACUUACUUGAUGGAAACCUUGUGUGCGCUAACCAUUGUAUUUCCGAGUGUCGCUUGUGUUUGUUCUUUUUGCAUGUAUACCACUUCGGAGACAUCUUGGAGUACUUGGCUUGCGCAAUGUCUUCUACUCUGUCCGACUACAAGUCCGUCCACGACAACCGUUUCCAUGGUGAUGAGGUUUUCGAUCCGAGGUCGGAUCUUUCCCAAGGGAGGGGAGAUGAUGCGGAGCAUCCUAUGAUCAUCCCCAUGUACAUUAUGACUACUCCCCAAGCCCCAAGUGCUCACAUGUUGAGACCUCAAGCAUACGCCAUUGGACCUAAGGUGAACUCGAUCCUUUCCGAAUCUUCCCUUUCUGCAUGUAAGAGAUGGAUGCUACAUCAAGCGCGGACCUUGUGCAUACUCAGGUACACCCGAGGAGACCAUGGAGAGCCCAAGGACCAAGGCCAAGUGUGCGCGGGAGCGAAGGAAGGAGAAGGAAGAAGAGCCAGCUGCUACAGCGGCUGGACAUCCGGCCCUCCUCACCGGAAAUCCGGCCCCUUGUGUCCAAAGAGCAACCUCAGGGCACCCAGGCCAGCUCGGACAUCCGGCAUGCCAGCCUAG